AUGGCUGUUCAGGGAGUCAGUGCAGCAAUGGCAGGAGGUAUGUCUGCCUUGAUUACUAUGCCAUUGGAUACAAUCAAGACAAGGCUGCAAGUCAUGGACGGAGAUGAGAAUGGCCGCCGUGGACCAACUGUGAUGCAGACCGUUAGAGGUUUGGUUAAGGAAGGCGGUUGGACGGCUUGUUAUAGAGGAUUAGGACCUAGAUGGGCUUCAAUGUCAGUGUCUGCAACAACAAUGAUCACAACCUAUGAGUUGCUUAAACGACUUUCUGCAAAGAGUCAAGAUGUUUUGACAUGA